CAUUCUCAACGACGGUAUUUUGUGUGAUUCUCUUGGUGUACAAGCUGAGAAAAAGAAUUAUGUGCUAUGUGGGCAUGCAAUGCAAGGCGUAUCUUCAAGAACCUAAGGUUUAAAAACGGUGAGACUAAUACCCAGAACGAGACGACUGAUUUGAUGAGAACCCUGCAAUCGACAAUUGUAUGUCCCCCAUCUGUGUAUUAACUUUCUGGUGCAAUGCAAGUAAAGUAAUUCACUUUUGUUGGGAUUUAAUAAGGCAACAAUCAAAAGAUGAGAAUGGUGAAUUCGAGAUAGCUCGACGUUACUGGAUAUGUUUUAUCUUAACAUUCAGUUGGGAAGCCAAAACGGUCGGCAUUCCUCAUUGUUGAGGUAGAACAAUGGGACAUGUUUCAUUUAAGACUCAAGGAUUGUUUUUAUUUGUAUAUAUUGAACUAUAGUUGGGUUAUAUGACCUCUGUUGUGCAUUUACUUGUGCUUGGUGUCAACAUUUUGUUCUGAACUUUCAUGAAACUCAAUUUGAGGGUCUAUAUUAUUA